GAAUGUGAGGGCAAUCUAGCUUCAAACAGAUUUUAUCCCAUUGAUCACUAUGGUUGAUUCUGCAGAUCUGGAUGCCUAGAAAGUUCUACCUUUGCUUCCUCUUUGCUCCAUGUGCAGCCCGUCUAAAACUGCACACUUGGUCAAACAGGAUGACCUUUCCUGAUAGAGGAGGACCAGUAGCUGUGCUCUGCAUCUAGAACCUCCAAACAAGCUCUCAAGCUCUUAUAUAUUUUAUAUUAAAGGUUAUGA
rnacentral:sRNA from 1 species